rnacentral:rRNA from 1 species
AUUGAACGCUGGCGGCAUGCUUUACACAUGCAAGUCGAACGGUAACAGGCCGCAAGGUGCUGACGAGUGGCGAACGGGUGAGUAAUGCAUCGGAACGUGCCCAGUCGUGGGGGAUAACGCAGCGAAAGUUGCGCUAAUACCGCAUACGAUCUAUGGAUGAAAGCGGGGGACCGUAAGGCCUCGCGCGAUUGGAGCGGCCGAUGUCAGUUUAGGUAGUUGGUGGGGUAAAGGCUCACCAAGCCGACGAUCUGUAGCUGGUCUGAGAGGACGACCAGCCACACUGGGACUGAGGCACGGCCCAGACUCCUACGGGAGGCAGCAGUGGGGAAUUUUGGACAAUGGGCGCAAGCCUGAUCCAGCAAUGCCGCGUGCAGGAAGAAGGCCUUCGGGUUGUAAACUGCUUCUGUACGGAACGAAACGGUCCUGGUUAAUACCCGGGGCUAAUGACGGUACCGUAAGAAUAAGCACCGGCUAACUACGUGCCAGCCGCCGCUGUAACAC